rnacentral:ncRNA from 1 species
UCUACCUAGGUCUGUGGUUGAAAGUCGAUGCCAGUCGCAGGCAAAGCGAUCCACGUAAGGUAACAAAAAGUUACUGAUCAUGGUGCGGCUUAGAAGUGAGUCCUACCUGGAGAAUUAUACAUAAUAGUAAUUUAUCCAGAGAGGAGUAUUAGUGGGAAAAUCCUGCAAAUCUCCCAGUAGGCCGGUGUGGGGUCAAAAACCAGGUCAGCUAGGCGAA